rnacentral:rRNA from 1 species
UACGUAGGUGGCAAGCGUUGUCCGGAUUUAUUGGGUUUAAAGGGCGCGUAGGCGGCGUGUCAAGUCGAUUGUGAAAUCUCCGGGCUUAACUCGGAACGGCCAAUCGAUACUGACGUGCUAGAGUGCAGAAAGGGCAAUCGGAAUUCUUGGUGUAGCGGUGAAAUGCGUAGAUAUCAAGAGGAACACCUGAGGCGAAGGCGGGUUGCUAGGCUGACACUGACGCUGAGUGCGCGAAAGCCAGGGGAGCAAACGGG